AGUCGGACGAGGUCUCACUUUCGAGUGGGUUCCCUAGUGGCAGAUGGUAGAGUAACGCGUGGGUAACCUGCCCUUGAGUCUGGGAUAACUGCGAGAAAUUGCAGCUAAUACCGGAUACACUCUGUUGCUCUUUGUAGCAGAGGAAAGAUUUAUCGCUCUAGGAUGGGCCUGCGUCCUAUCAGGUAGUUGGUGUGGUAACGGCGCACCAAGCCGAAAACGGGUAGCUGGUGUGAGAGCAUGACCAGCCAGAGGGGGACUGAGACACGGCCCCCACUCCUCCGGGAGGCAGCAGCAGGGAAUCGUGCACAAUGGGCGAAAGCCUGAUGCCGCGAUGCCGCGUGAGGGAUGACGGCUUUAGAGUUGUAAACCUCUUUUUUCAGGGAANAGCAAGGACGUUACCUGAGGAACAAGCCACGGCUUACUACGUGCCAGCAGCAGCGGUAAUACGUAGGUGGCGAGCGUUGUCCGGAAUUACUGGGCGUAAAGGGUCCGUAGGCUGUCGUAUAAGUCUCCUGUGAAAUCUCCACGCUUAACGUGGAAUGGUCGGGAGAAACUGUACGACUAGAGACUGUCAGAGGCAGGUGGAAUUCCCGGAGUAGUGGUGAAAUACGUAGAUAUCGGGAGGAACACCAGUGGCGAAGGCGGCCUGCUGGGGCAGUUCUGACGCUGAUGGACUAAAGCGUGGGKAGCGAACCGGAUUAGAUACCCGGGUAGUCCACGCCCUAAACGAUGGAUGCUAGGUAUGGGGGGUAUAGACCCCCUCCGUGCCGCAGCUAACGCAUUAAGCAUCCCGCCUGAGGAGUACGGCCGCAAGGCUAAAACUCAAAGGAAUUGACGGGGACCCGCACAAGCAGCGGAUCGUGUGGUUUAAUUCGAUGAUAAGCGAAGAACCUUACCAGGGCUUGAAAUGCGUCCGACCGGCUGGGAAACCAGCCUUUCUUCGGGACGGUCGCACAGAUGUUGCAUGGCUGUCGUCAGCUCGUGUCGUGAGAUGUUGGGUUAAGUCCCGCAACGAGCGCAACCCCUGUCGCUAGUUAGGAUGUCUAGCGAGACUCCGCCACUGGGGCGAGGAAGGUGGGGUCGAGGUCAAGUCAUCAUGGCUCUUACGUCCUGGGCUACACACACGAUACAAUGGCGGUGACAGAGGGUCGCAAAGGCGCAAGCCGGAGCCAAUCCCACAAACGCCGCCCCAGUUGGAAUUGCAGGCUGCAACCCGCCUGCAUGAACGCGGAGUUGCUAGUAACCGCAGGUCAGCACACUGCGGUGAAUACGUUCUCGGGUCUUGUACACACCGCCCGUCAAGUCAUGGAAGUCGGCAACACUUGAAGUCGCUGGGCUAACCGCAAGGAGGCAGGCGCCGAGGGUGGGGCUGGUGACUGGGACUAAGUCGUAACAAGGUA
rnacentral:rRNA from 1 species